rnacentral:rRNA from 1 species
UACGGAGGGUGCGAGCGUUGUCCGGAAUCAUUGGGCGUAAAGGGCGCGUAGGCGGCCCUCUAAGUCAGACGUGAAAUCCCUCGGCUCAACCGGGGAACUGCGUCUGAUACUGGAGGGCUUGAAUCCGGGAGAGGGAUGUGGAAUUCCAGGUGUAGCGGUGAAAUGCGUAGAUAUCUGGAGGAACACCGGUGGCGAAGGCGGCAUCCUGGACCGGUAUUGACGCUGAGGCGCGAAAGCUAGGGGAGCAAACGGG